CACGUUUACAACUAUUAGAAUUUUAUUUGUUUUUCAUUCAUAGCUUACUUACAAUCGCACUAGAAUUCAACUCUAUUAGUGAUAUAGGAUUUGCAUCGACUAAAUGAUCUAUUGUCUGUCCCUUUGACGGUUCUUAUAAUAUUGUAUUUAAAUACAAAUUUUAAGUUAAUUAUAUAUUCUACGAAAGGUUCUAGAUUUGUAUCGUACUUGGUAUGAAAGAUAUUACUUUUCUACAUGAUAGUAUAAAGUUCCCUUGGGCAGGGAAGUAUUGCAAACUUCAUUGGAAAAGAAUGCAGUUUAAAGACAAACACAAAAAAACGUUACAUACAAAGAAGAAUUGAAAGGGACGAUGUGCAUAUAUGCACCUUUUCAAUACGUAUACUGUACUGAAAGCAAGAAGAGCUACAACAGUGAUGAUGAAAUAAACUAACACAGACUUCACAAUUAAACAUAUAAUUACAAAGGUCACAACCAGAGGCCGCGAAAGCAUUUCGAAAUUGGGGGAGGAGGUAUUGCCCAAAAAAGGGCACUUUUGUAUAUGACAAAAAUCAAACAUUUUAAUGUCAUUCACUACCCGAACGAACAUUUUUUAAAAUAUGGACUCUUUUAUUACGUCGGAAAUGGCCUUUACAAAGUCUUCACAUUUACAUUUCAAACUGAGGGCACUUCCUUUCCAGCAAAAGGCGUUCAUUCAGUAAAUGCUUUUUUCGUUCUUCAAAUGAGACACUUUAGCAUUUAAGUUGGGGGGGGGGCAAAUGCCCCUAUGGCCCCCUAUUGCUUCCCCCGUUCCGCGGCCCCUGAUCACAACAAGUAUUGACACACAAAACGUUCACAUCAAAUCACACGAAAACCAACAAAGCCUUUUUAUUUUUAAUACUAGCUACUUGGUCAUAUUUCGGACGGCGUACUUCAUAUAUGAACUGCGAAAAUUUAUAGCGUCUUCAUCAAUUUCGGCAAAUCAAAUUUCGACUAGAAAUACAUAUGCAUGCAGCAACCCUCGCUCUUUUUUGACAUAAC